CAAGCCCUGGAAACGGGGUCUAAUACCGGAUGGGACUGCCGGCCGCAUGGUCUGGUGGUGGAAAGCGUUUAGUGGUGCAGGAUGAGCCCGCGGCCUAUCAGCUUGUUGGUGGGGUGAGUGCCUACCAAGGCGACGACGGGUAGCCGGCCUGAGAGGGCGACCGGCCACACUGGGACUGAGACACGGCCCAGACUCCUACGGGAGGCAGCAGUGGGGAAUAUUGCACAAUGGGCGGAAGCCUGAUGCAGCGACGCCGCGUGAGGGAUGACGGCCUUCGGGUUGUAAACCUCUUUCAGCAGGGAAGAAGCCGCAAGUGACGGUACCUGCAGAAGAAGCACCGGCUAACUACGUGCCAGCAGCCGCGGUAAUACGUAGGGUGCGAGCGUUGUCCGGAAUUAUUGGGCGUAAAGAGCUCGUAGGCGGCGUGUCACGUCGGAUGUGAAAGCCCGGGGCUUAACUCCGGGUUUGCAUUCGAUACGGGCAGGCUAGAGUUCGGUAGGGGAGAUCGGAAUUCCUGGUGCACUCACCCCA
rnacentral:rRNA from 1 species